rnacentral:rRNA from 1 species
GAUGAACGCUGGCGGCGUGCCUAAUACAUGCAAGUCGAGCGAACAGAUAAGGAGCUUGCUCCUUUGACGUUAGCGGCGGACGGGUGAGUAACACGUGGGUAACCUACCUAUAAGACUGGAAUAACUCCGGGAAACCGGGGCUAAUGCCGGAUAACAUUUAGAACCGCAUGGUUCUAAAGUGCAAGAUGGUUUUACUAUCACUUAUAGAUGUACCCGCGCGGUAUUAGCUAGUUGGUAAGGUAACGGCUUACCAAGGCAACGAUACGUAGCCGACCUGAGAGGGGGAUCGGCCACACUGGAACUGAGACACGGUCCAGACUCCUACGGGAGGCAGCAGUAGGGAAUCUGGCGCAAGGGGCGAAAGCCUGACGGAGCAACGCCGCGUGAGUGAUGAAGGUCUUCGGAUCGUAAAACUCUGUUGUUAGGGAAGAACAAAUGUGUAAGUAACUGUGCACGUCUGGACGGUACCUAAUCAGAAAGCCAGGGCUAACUACGU